GGUGGUGAGGGACAUUGGCGACACCACCAUCCAGCUCAGCUGGAGCCGUGGCUUCGACAACCACAGCCCCAUAGCUAAGUACACCCUGCAAGCUCGCACUCCACCUGCAGGGAAGUGGAAACAGGUUCGGACCAAUCCUGCAAACAUCGAGGGCAAUGCCGAGACUGCACAGGUGCUGGGCCUCACCCCCUGGAUGGACUAUGAGUUCCGGGUCAUAGCCAGCAACAUUCUGGGCACUGGGGAGCCUAGUGGGCCCUCCAGCAAAAUCCGGACCAAGGAAGCAGCCCCCUCGGUGGCACCCUCAGGUCUCAGCGGAGGAGGUGGAGCCCCCGGAGAGCUCAUCGUCAACUGGACGCCCAUGUCACGGGAGUACCAGAACGGAGACGGCUUCGGCUACCUGCUGUCCUUCCGCAGGCAGGGCAGCACUCACUGGCAGACCGCCCGGGUGCCCGGCGCCGAUGCCCAGUACUUCGUCUACAGCAACGAGAGCGUCCGGCCCUACACGCCCUUUGAGGUCAAGAUCCGCAGCUACAACCGCCGCGGGGAUGGGCCCGAGAGCCUCACUGCACUCGUGUACUCAGCUGAGGAAGAGCCCAGGGUGGCCCCUACCAAGGUGUGGGCCAAAGGGGUCUCAUCCUCAGAGAUGAACGUGACCUGGGAACCCGUGCAGCAGGACAUGAAUGGUAUCCUCCUGGGGUAUGAGAUCCGCUACUGGAAAGCUGGGGACAAAGAAGCAGCCGCGGACCGAGUGAGGACAGCAGGGCUGGACACCAGUGCCCGAGUCAGCGGCCUGCAUCCCAACACCAAGUACCAUGUGACCGUGAGGGCCUACAACCGAGCUGGCACUGGGCCUGCCAGCCCUUCUGCCAACGCCACGACCAUGAAGCCCCCUCCGCAGCGACCUCCUGGCAAUAUCUCCUGGACUUUCUCAAGCUCUAGUCUUAGCAUUAAGUGGGACCCUGUGGUCCCUUUCCGAAAUGAGUCUGCAGUCACCGGCUAUAAGGUGAGGAAGGGAUCAGCUAGGCCCAGAAUGGGAAGGAACAGCUCCUCUGUGUUUCCAGUGAACGUAAGAUCUGAGUGAGACAUAAGCAAAGGGUUUGUGACUGUGAGAGGAAUGAAAUUCAUGAACGAUUCUCUCGGUAACUUGCAGUAGAAACUAUAAAAACAGGCGGAGAUGGUAUCACUGCAGAAAGGCAGAGUUCACAGGGGCAGUGAUGGACUAUGGGGAUGGAGUAUGGGGGUUCUUCUAGCUUAAGGAGUCUACAGAAGCAGUUCAGUGGCCUGCAAGCUUUCCUCCACCAAUGAGGAGCUUUGUCAAUGGGGAGGAGGGGUGAGGAGGCUGGACCUCAAGAGCCCAGAACCAUCGGGGCUCCUCCCAGUACCUAAAGCUGGGGAUGACUCAACGAUCAGCCCUGGUGUCAAGAAACUCCUCCUUCCUACAGAUGCUGUACCAGAAUGACUUACACCUGACUCCCACGCUCCACCUCACCGGCAAGAACUGGAUAGAAAUCCCAGUGCCUGAAGACAUUGGCCAUGCCCUGGUACAAAUUCGGACCACAGGGCCCGGAGGGGAUGGGAUCCCUGCAGAAGUCCACAUCGUGAGGAAUGGAGGCACAAGCAUGAUGGUGGAGAACAUGGCAGUCCGCCCAGCACCACACCCUGGCAUCAUCGUUUCCCACUCCGUGGCGAUGCUGAUCCUCAUAGGCUCCCUGGAGCUCUGAUCCUGGAACCCCUCCCUCUGCGCCGCAGCUGGACGCCACUGCCGAUGGACACAGCCAGCCGGCCCCUUCCUGCUGCCAAGGUGGCCUGACACUGUGCCAGAGAGUGGCUGGUUUUAAAUACCUACUUUAAACAGUGCCCUUUUUGUAGGAGAGAUGGCACUCUGGGACCCUAUAUGGACUCCGCCACUUGAGAGCAGUCCUAGGCCGGGCAGGAACACCAGACAUGAACAGGCUGAAGAACUGGGGCGAAGUGCACGUCACCAUCCUUCAGUCCAAGGAAGAAGGGCAAGCCCUGGGACCAAGAACUCUCCUACCUUCUCCCUUGAGCAGCAGCAAGGACCCUGACGCUGUCCCCGAUGACUCCCUAGGGGCUCCUGCCUGCCCAAGUGGCUGAGAACCAGCGCCCCGACGCCUGAGGCUGGGAGCCUGAGCCCCUUCAGCUUUGAGGGGGGUGAUACUCCAGGCUGCUUGGGGUGGGAGCCAAAAAGAGUUGAGAGGCCAGGGCCCUUGGUGGAAAGGGGCACCAGCCUCGGUCUGAGAUAGUCACAACCCAGGUGACGUUGCCUUCUCAGCCAACACUGCCAACCUGACCCUGUCAUCCCCAGAUUGACAGCGCCACUUCAGGUGGCUGGGUGACUAAAGGGCUUGUCUUGGUGGGGUCUCCCACCUCUCCAAGACCCAUCCUGCACAGUCCCUCCAGGGUUUGGGCAGGAGAUGGCAAAUCAUGCGCCCACCUCUCCCUCCAGCGCAGCCUGCAGUCAGCUCGGCCUCCCCGACCUGCAGCCCCAAACUCUGCUCUCCCAGCACUGACUCACUCCUGCCUGGGAGGGGAAUGCAGCAUUCAUGCUGUGUGUCCUGGAAUUGGGAGGUUUCUGGGAAGGGCAGAGGAUAAAUGUGGCCCUGCCUGCUCCCAGGUAUACCUAGGACCACCUGGCCAGAUCCGCUCCCAGAUGGCCUUGGACUGCUUGCAUUUCUCCAGAGAAAAAGGGGUUAAUAAAUGGGCCAUCCUUUCCUGAGCUCUGGGUAUACUACCAGUCACAGAACGUCGGAGCUGGAAGAAGCCUUAGAGCUCAACUUCUUCAAGCCCCUCACUUUACAGAUGAGGAAAUGGAGGUGGUCCAGAGAGGGUCUGGGAUUCCCAAGGUCACACACCCCGGAAGAGAUGGGGCUGGGUUAAGAACUCCAGUCUUCCACCUUUCUGUUCAAGGCUGUUUAUCUACCCAGAGGAAGGAGGC
rnacentral:sRNA from 1 species